rnacentral:rRNA from 1 species
AACAGGAUUAGAUACCCUGGUAGUCCAUGCCGUAAACGAUGAGUGCUAGGUGUUGGAGGGUUUCCGCCCUUCAGUGCCGGAGCUAACGCAUUAAGCACUCCGCCUGGGGAGUACGACCGCAAGGUUGAAACUCAAAGGAAUUGACGGGGGCCCGCACAAGCGGUGGAGCAUAUGGUUUAAUUCGAAGCUACGCGAAGAACCUUACCAGGUCUUGACAUCUUGCGCCAACCCUAGAGAUAGGGCGUUUCCUUCGGGAACGCAAUGACAGGUGGUGCAUGGUCGUCGUCAGCUCGUGUCGUGAGAUGUUGGGUUAAGUCCCGCAACGAGCGCAACCCUUGUUACUAGUUGCCAGCAUUAAGUUGGGCACUCUAGUGAGACUGCCGGUGACAAACCGGAGGAAGGUGGGGACGACGUCAGAUCAUCAUGCCCCUUAUGACCUGGGCUACACACGUGCUACAAUGGACGGUACAACGAGUCGCGAACUCGCGAGGGCAAGCAAAUCUCUUAAAACCGUUCUCAGUUCGGACUGCAGGCUGCAACUCGCCUGCACGAAGUCGGAAUCGCUAGUAAUCGCGGAUCAGCAUGCCGCGGUGAAUACGUUCCCGGGCCUUGUACACACCGCCCGUCACACCAUGAGAGUUUGUAACACCCAAAGUCGGUGGGGUAACCUUUUAGGAGCCAGCCGCCUAAGGUGGGACAGAUGAUUAGGGUGAAGUCGUAACAAGGUAACC